rnacentral:rRNA from 1 species
GCGGGGACUGCUGUUUCUUAACCUUUCGGGGUUGGGAUUCUUUGGUGGAAACCGCGUUAAUCGCAGUGGCUUGAACCGGGCAAAAGUCGUAACAAGGUUUCCGUAGGUGAACCUGCGGAAGGAUCAU